UCGAGCGGACAGAUGGGAGCUUGCUCCCUGAUGUUAGCGGCGGACGGGUGAGUAACACGUGGGUAACCUGCCUGUAAGACUGGGAUAACUCCGGGAAACCGGGGCUAAUACCGGAUGCUUGUUUGAACCGCAUGGUUCAAACAUAAAAGGUGGCUUCGGCUACCACUUACAGAUGGACCCGCGGCGCAUUAGCUAGUUGGUGAGGUAACGGCUCACCAAGGCAACGAUGCGUAGCCGACCUGAGAGGGUGAUCGGCCACACUGGGACUGAGACACGGCCCAGACUCCUACGGGAGGCAGCAGUAGGGAAUCUUCCGCAAUGGACGAAAGUCUGACGGAGCAACGCCGCGUGAGUGAUGAAGGUUUUCGGAUCGUAAAGCUCUGUUGUUAGGGAAGAACAAGUACCGUUCGAAUAGGGCGGUACCUUGACGGUACCUAACCAGAAAGCCACGGCUAACUACGUGCCAGCAGCCGCGGUAAUACGUAGGUGGCAAGCGUUGUCCGGAAUUAUUGGGCGUAAAGGGCUCGCAGGCGGUUUCUUAAGUCUGAUGUGAAAGCCCCCGGCUCAACCGGGGAGGGUCAUUGGAAACUGGGGAACUUGAGUGCAGAAGAGGAGAGUGGAAUUCCACGUGUAGCGGUGAAAUGCGUAGAGAUGUGGAGGAACACCAGUGGCGAAGGCGACUCUCUGGUCUGUAACUGACGCUGAGGAGCGAAAGCGUGGGGAGCGAACAGGAUUAGAUACCCUGGUAGUCCACGCCGUAAACGAUGAGUGCUAAGUGUUAGGGGUUUCCGCCCCUUAGUGCUGCAGCUAACGCAUUAAGCACUCCGCCUGGGGAGUACG
rnacentral:rRNA from 2 species